rnacentral:rRNA from 1 species
ACGGGUGAGUAACGCGUACCGAACCUGCCCAUCACACAGGGAUAGGCUUGCGAAAGCAAGAUUAAUACCUGAUGGUCUCAGUUGUAUGCAUGUAUGAUUGAGUAAAGCCUUCGGGUGGUGAUGGAUGGCGGUGCGUCCCAUUAGGAAGUUGGCGGGGUAACGGCCCACCAAUCCUUCGAUGGGUAGGGGUUCUGAGAGGAAGGUCCCCCACAUUGGAACUGAGAUACGGUCCAAACUCCUACGGGAGGCAGCAGUGAGGAAUAUUGGUCAAUGGGCGAGAGCCUGAACCAGCCAAGUAGCGUGCGGGAUGAAGGCCCUUGUGGUCGUAAACCGCUUUUAUCAGUGAAUAAAGUGCACCACGUGUGGUGUCAUUGCAGGUAGCUGAAGAAAAAGGACCGGCUAAUUCCGUGCCAGCAGCCGCGGUAAUACGGAAGGUCCGGGCGUUAUCCGGAAUUAUUGGGUUUAAAGGGAGCGCAGGCGGGAGUAUAAGUCAGCUGUUAAAUAUCAGGGCCCAACUCUGUUAUGCAGUUGAAACUAUAUUUCUUGAGUACGCACAGGGAUGGCGGAAUUCAGGGUGUAGCGGUGAAAUGCUUAGAUAUCCUGAAGAACUCCGAUCGCGAAGGCAGCCAUCCGGAGCGUAACUGACGCUGAGGCUCGAAGGUGCGGGUAUCGAACAGGAUUAGAU